GAAACCCGGUGAUCUAGCCAUGGGCAGGUUGAAGGUUGGGUAACACUAACUGGAGGACCGAACCGACUAAUGUUGAAAAAUUAGCGGAUGACCUGUGGCUGGGGGUGAAAGGCCAAUCAAACCGGGAGAUAGCUGGUUCUCCCCGAAAGCUAUUUAGGUAGCGCCUCGUGAAUUCAUCUCCGGGGGUAGAGCACUGUUUCGGCUAGGGGGCCAUCCCGGCUUACCAACCCGAUGCAAACUGCGAAUACCGGAGAAUGUUAUCACGGGAGACACACGGCGGGUGCUAACGUCCGUCGUGAAGAGGGAAACAACCCAGACCGCCAGCUAAGGUCCCAAAGUCAUGGUUAAGUGGGAAACGAUGUGGGAAGGCCCAGACAGCCAGGAUGUUGGCUUAGAAGCAGCCAUCAUUUAAAGAAAGCGUAAUAGCUCACUGGUCGAGUCGGCCUGCGCGGAAGAUGUAACGGGGCUAAACCAUGCACCGAAGCUGCGGCAGCGAACGUAUCACUUAAAGCGAUUCAGCGGGUUACGAUUGACGGAGCGAAGCGACGUCAAAGCGUAUACAAAGUCGAGUCGGUUUAAGGAUACGUUCGUUGGGUAGGGGAGCGUUCUGUAAGCCUGUGAAGGUGGCCUGUGAGGGUUGCUGGAGGUAUCAGAAGUGCGAAUGCUGACAUAAGUAACGAUAAAGCGGGUGAAAAGCCCGCUCGCCGGAAGACCAAGGGUUCCUGUCCAACGUUAAUCGGGGCAGGGUGAGUCGACCCCUAAGGCGAGGCCGAAAGGCGUAGUCGAUGGGAAACGGGUUAAUAUUCCCGUACUUGGUGUUACUGCGAAGGGGGGACGGAGAAGGCUAUGUUGGCCGGGCGACGGUUGUCCCGGUUUAAGCGUGUAGGUGUGUGUUCCAGGUAAAUCCGGUUCACUUUAACACUGAGGCGUGACGACGAGGCACUACGGUGCUGAAGCAACAAAUGCCCUGCUUCCAGGAAAAGCCUCUAAGCAUCAGGUAACAUCAAAUCGUACCCCAAACCGACACAGGUGGUCAGGUAGAGAAUACCAAGGCGCUUGAGAGAACUCGGGUGAAGGAACUAGGCAAAAUGGUGCCGUAACUUCGGGAGAAGGCACGCUGACACGUAGGUGAAGUGAUUUACUCAUGGAGCUGAAGUCAGUCGAAGAUACCAGCUGGCUGCAACUGUUUAUUAAAAACACAGCACUGUGCAAACACGAAAG
rnacentral:rRNA from 1 species